rnacentral:tmRNA from 1 species
GGGAGUGACUUGGCUUCGACAGGAGCAGGUUCGGUUUGAUUGCAUGCCGCUUUGAACAGAGCGUAAAAAGUUCAUAAAUUUAGACGCAAAUAACAAAAAUUUCGCUCCCGCUUACGCUAAAAUCGCGUAAGUUUUAUCCUUAAAGGGAGGCUUUGCUCCGUGGACGCUAUCUAAGCGGAUUUAGCGAAGCUCAAAACCAGAUAGCUCAAGCAGGCCACUUAACUGACGGCUCGCCGAAAUUUAAGUUUGCGCUUUUGUGUAACCUUCGCGGAUUGAGUGAAGCAAAAGUAAAGACAAAAUCAAUCCCUCUAAGCAUGUAGACGUCAUCUCGCGGCUUGUUUUUGGACAGGGGUUCGAUUCCCCUCACUUCCACCA